AGUUCUUGUAGUUGAAUUACAACGGUGGUUUUUCAAGUCAUUGGUCCUGGUUAGAGCCCUGGCAGGAAUUA
rnacentral:tRNA from 1 species